CAGAACAUGAGGUUUGUUCCACUGGGAAUGAGACUACAGAGAUUAGGACCAGAACAUGAGGUUUGUUCCACUGGGAAUGAGACUACAGAGAUUAGGACCAGAACAUGAGGUUUGUUCCACUGGGAUUGAGACUACAGAGAUUAGGACCAGA